AUGACUGUGCUACAGGAUGAUACAAGAUCACAGACAGAAAUUCGAUCAAGGAUCAAACAUAAAUUACAUAAUACUUCAACUAAAUUAAAUGCAUGGCUGGAAUGAAGUUCCUGACCCUGGUGAUGAUUUUGGAAAAGCAAAGAGACAUUCUGAUGCCACCUUGUAUUGAGCCUGCAAUACUCCAAAAUGAUUUUGUUGUAUUCAUAUUUUUCUAUCAAAUAAUCUUUUAGAUUAAUUUUCAAAUUUAAGCUAAGUGAAUUUUUAUUAUUCUUAACCACAAGUGUAAAAGCCGCUGGCAGAUGUGUUAUUCCCCUUUGAAUUUUAUUCUUUUUGUUUUUUAUGAAACCCAGAUCUGUCUCAACAUUAGAUUAAAAUAAUUUUGUAAUGAUA
rnacentral:lncRNA from 1 species